AGAAUGUGAAUGUGAUAGCUCCUUCUCAAUUUCUCCACACGAUUCAAUCUCGACAAAAAGUUCUUUAACCGUGAUGCAUUAGGGAAGCAGCCAUAUUUUACCAGCACGGAAUUGCAGAUGAGGUCUCGAGUUCUAGUCUCAGACCGUCUUUAAAGAAAAGAAAAGACUUGUAAUGCAUUAGGUGCUCAAGUAAAUCCUGA
rnacentral:misc_RNA from 1 species